AUGGCGGCGGUGCAGCAGUACACGGUGGCGCUCUUCCUCGCCGUUGCCCUCGUGGCGGGGCCGGCCGUCUCCUACGCCGCCUACGCCCCCGGCGCCCCGGCCACCCCCGCCGCCCCAGGGACCCAGCCCAAGGCGACGACUCCGGAGCAGAAGCUGAUGGAGGAUAUCAACAACGGCUUCAAGGCGGCUGUGGCGGCCGCAGCCGCCGUCCCUGCGGCCGACAAGUACAAGGCGUUCCAGACCACCUUCAUCGCGUCCUCUAACAAGGCUUUCGCGGAUGCCCUCAAGGCCGCCGCCUCCGGCCAGACCCCUGCCAAGUCAGACUCCAUGUCCAGACUCUCCACCAGCCUCGAAUCCUCCUUCAAGCUCGCCUACGACUUCGCCGAGGGCGCCACCCCCGAGACCAAGUACGACACCUACGUCGCCAGUCUCACCGAGUCGCUCCGCGUCAUCUCCGGCGCCUUCGAGGUCCACGCCGUCAAGCCCGCCGAAGAGGAGGUCAAGGGGGUCCCCGCCCCCCAGCUCAAGACCAUCGACCAGAUCGACGCCGCCUACAGGACCGCCGCCACCGCCGCCAACGCUGUCUCGGCCGACAAAAAGUUCACCAUCUUCGAGUCCUUCUUCAACAGGGCCAUUAAGGAGAAUACGGGCGGCAAAUACGACAACUACAAGUUCGUCCCCGCCCUUGAGUCCGCCGUCAAGCAGGCCUACGCCGCCACCGUCGCCUCCGCGCCCGAGGUAAAGUACGCCGUCUUUCAGGCCGCCCUGAGCAAGGCCAUCAGUGCCAUGGUUGAAGCCGAGAAGGAUGCCAAGCCCGCCGGCGCCGGCGCCGGCGCUACUGCCGGUGGCUACAAAGCCUGA
rnacentral:rRNA from 1 species